CAUGAACUAGGAACCGGGCCAAUAACCUWACCGGUGGCAARCAUUGAAUUGCCAAUGAAGGAACGUCGAGCAMGGACSCGSCKGACAGAUGAAGGUUCGAWUCGUAACCUYUUUAUAGGAGAUUKGRACUKWACCUAUGAAUAAGGCUGCUACUACGKGCAGCAGCAGCGGUAWUACGUAGGGCCCGAGSGUKUCCGGAUUUWUGGGCGUAAGCGKGCGCAGGCGAUUUUGUAAGACAGCGKGAAAUCCCCGGGCUUAACCUGGGAACUGCGUUUGUGACUGCAAGGCUAGAGUACGGCAGAGGGGGGUGGAAUUCCACGUGUAGCAGUGAAAUGCGUAGAGAUGUGGAGUAACACCAAUGGCGAAGGCAGCCCCUGGGUCGAUACUGACGCUCAUGCACGAAAGCGUGGGUAGCAAACAGGAUUAGAUACCCUGGUAGUGCACGCCCUAAACUAUGUCAACUAGGUGUUGGGUGGGUAAAACCAUUUAGUACCGUAGCUAACGCGUGAAGUUGACCGCCUGGGGAGUACGGCCGCAAGGUUAAAACUCAAAGGAAUUGACGGGGACCCGCACAAGCGGUGGAUGAUGUGGAUUAAUUCGAUGCAACGCGAAAAACCUUACCUACCCUUGACAUGCCAGGAACUUGCCAGAGAUGGCUUGGUGCCCGAAAGGGAGCCUGGACACAGGUGCUGCAUGGCUGUCGUCAGCUYGUGUCGUGAGAUGUUGGGUUAAGUCCCGCAACGAGCGCAACCCUUGUCGUUAUUGCACRUCAUUUARUUGGGCAMUUUAAMGRGAYUKCCSGKGMCAAACCGGAGGAAGGKGGGGAYGACGUCAAGUCMUCAUGGCCMUUAUGGGUAGGGYUUCACACGUCAUACAAUGGUCGGUACAAAGGGUKGSCAAGCCGSGAGGCGGAGCCAAUYCCAGAAAGCCGAUYGUAGUCCGGAUUGCAGGCUGCAACUCGCMUGCAUGAAGUCGGAAUCGCUAGUAAUCGUGGAUCAGCAUGUCACGGUGAAUACGUUCCCGGGUCUUGUACACACCGCCCGUCACACCAUGGGAGCGGGUUCCGCCAGAAGUAGGUAGCCUAACYGCAAGGGGGGCGMUUUMCACGGCGGGGUUCGUKACKGGGGUGAAGUSGUAACAAGGUAWCSGU
rnacentral:rRNA from 1 species